UAAGACGUAGGAGGCGAGCGUUAUCCGGAUUUAUUGGGCGUAAAGCGCGUGCAGGCGGUUCUGUAAGUUGGGUAUGAAAUCUCCUGGCUUAACUGGGAGAGGCUACACAAAACUGCAGAGCUUGAGAAUGGGAGAGGGAGGUGGAAUUCCGGGUGUAGUGGUGAAAUGCGUAGAUAUCCGGAGGAACACCAGUGGCGAAAGCGGCCUCCUAGACCAUUUCUGACGCUCAGACGCGAAAGCUAGGGUAGCAAACGGG
rnacentral:rRNA from 1 species